GUCAAAUGAAAAAAGGCUUACGGUGGAAUCCUAGGCACCCAGAGACGAUGAAGGGCGCAGAUACCGGCGAAACGCUUCGGGGAGCUGGCAACAAGCAUAGAUCCGAAGAUCCCCGAAUAGGGCAACCUGCAAAACUACCAACAAAAUUCAUAAGUUGGAAAGAGAGAACCCAGUGAAUUGAAACAUCUUAGUAGCUGGUGGAAAAGAAAGCAAACGCGAUUCCCGUAGUAGCGGCGAGCGAACCGGGAACAGCCUAAACCUUGUAUGUGCGUUUACGUACAUAAGGGGGUAGUGGGAAGACUAAUAAAUUAAAUAAGUGGCUUAUCUUACUUACUUAUAAGUAAGUAAGUAAGUAAGAAUAAAAAACGAAGCAGCUGAAACCUGCACCAUAGAUGGUGAAAGUCCAGUAGUUGCAAUGUAAAAUAGAAUAAGUAAAGUCUAAUCCCGAGUAGCAUGGGACACGUGGAAUCCCGUGUGAAUCAGCGAGGACCACCUCGUAAGGCUAAAUACUACUGGGUGACCGAUAGAGAAAGAGUACUGCGAAGGAACGUUGAAAAGAACCCCCGUAGGGGAGUGAAAUAGAACAUGAAACCGUAUGCUUACUAGCAGUGGGAGGGGUCGCCUACUCCUGUUCUUAUAGGUAGGAGUAGAGAACGCCUGACCGCGUGCCUGUUGAAGAAUGAGCCGGCGACUUAGAGGGUCUGGCAGGUUAAGGAGGAAGUUCCGGAGCCAACGCGAAAGCAAGUCUGAAUAGGGCAAAGAAAAGUCAGAUCCUCUGGACCCGAACCCGGGUGAUCUAAUCAUGACCAGGAUGAAGCUUGGGUAACACUUAGUGGAGGUGCCGAACCGACCGAUGUUGAAAAAUCGGCGGAUGAGUUGUGAUUAGGGGAGAAAUUCCAAUCGAACUCGGAGCUAGCUGGAUCUCCCCGAAAUGCGUUUGGGCGCAGCGGUCAACGAAAAAGUUGAACUUCAACCAAUAGGAGCCGUCAUGGGGUAAAGAUACUGUUUCGAUGCGGGCUGCGAAAGCGGUACCAAGUCGUGGCAAACUCAGAAUACAUGAUGUAGCCUUCCGUUAGCCAGUGAGACUCGAAGGGAGAAGCUUUCGUUAGUCAAGAGGGAAACAGCCCAGAUCACCAGCUAAGGCCCCUAAAUGGUCACUAAGUGGGAAAGGAUGUGAGAAUGCUGUAACAACCAGGAAGUUCGCU
rnacentral:rRNA from 1 species